UCCGUAGGUGAACCUGCGGAAGGAUCAUUAUCGUAGGGGCUUCGGCCCCCUCAAGAUAGAACCCUUGCCUUUUUCGAGUACCUUCGUUUUCCUCAGCAGGCUCGCCUGCCAGUAGGGACCUAACAAACCCUUUGUAACGCCUGCAAUUGUCUAACAAAACAAACAAAAAUCAAAACUUUCAACAACAGAUCUCUUAGUUCUGGCAUUAAUAAAGAACGCAGCGAAAUGCGAUAAGUAGUGUGAAUUGCAGAAUUUAGUGAAUUAUCGAAUCUUUGAACGCACAUUGCGCCCUAUAGUAUUCCAUAGGGCAUGCCUGUUCGAGCGUUAUUUAACCCCUCAAGCUCUACUUAGUGUUGGGCGUCUGUCCUGCCUUAUAGCGCGGACUCGCCUUAAAUCUAUUGGCGGCCGGCACGUUAGCUUUGAGCGCAGCAGAAACGCGAACUUGAGGCCUAGCAGAUCGGCUCCCAGAAGCUACCCCUAUAAAUUUAACCUCAGAUCAGGUAGGGAUACCCGCUGAACUUAAGCAUAUCAAUAAGCGGAGGGAAGUCGGACUGGCCAAGGGGCACACCAGGGGGGGGGGAUA
rnacentral:rRNA from 1 species